rnacentral:rRNA from 1 species
CGGACGAACGCUGGCGGCGUGCCUAAUACAUGCAAGUAGAAACGCUGAAGGAGGAGCUUGCUUCUCUGGAUGAGUUGCGAACGGGUGAGUAACGCGUAGGUAACCUGCCUGGUAGCGGGGGAGUAACUAUUGGAAACGAUAGCUAAUACCGCAUAACAGUAGAUGUUGCAUGACAUUUGCUUAAAAGGUGCAAUUGCAUCACUACCAGAUGGACCUGCGUUGUAUUAGCUAGUUGGUGGGGUAACGGCUCACCAAGGCGACGAUACAUAGCCGACCUGAGAGGGUGAUCGGCCACACUGGGACUGAGACACGGCCCAGACUCCUACGGGAGGCAGCAGUAGGGAAUCUUCGGCAAUGGACGGAAGUCUGACCGAGCAACGCCGCGUGAGUGAAGAAGGUUUUCGGAUCGUAAAGCUCUGUUGUAAGAGAAGAACGAGUGUGAGAGUGGAAAGUUCACACUGUGACGGUAUCUUACCAGAAAGGGACGGCCAACUACGUG